rnacentral:tRNA from 1 species
UCGCGCGCCAGCCGGCGCGACGCGCUGUUCCUGCCGGCGCCCGACCGCGGCGCGCGCCGCGCGCGCCGCGUGAC